UUUCCGUAGGUGAACCUGCGGAAGGAUCAUUAAUGAGUUGUCAUGGGGUUCGAUGCUGGCAGCCAAUUUUUGGAUGCAUGUGCUUGCCCUAACAAUCAUCUUCCAAACACCUGUGCACACUUUUAAGGGAGUCUUGAGUUGGUUGCCGCUCUUGGGUGAUUUUCUCACAUUCCCUUAAAUCAUUAUACGCUAUUAACAAUGUUGAACGUGCUCUGUGCCGCAAGGCUAUUAAUAUAAUACAACUUUUAACAACGGAUCUCUUGGCUCUC
rnacentral:misc_RNA from 1 species